GACCAGACUCCUACGGGAGGCAGCAGUGGGGGAUAUUGCACAAUGGGGGGAACCCUGAUGCAGCGACGCCGCGUGGGUGAAGGAGUAUUUCGGUAUGUAAAGCCCUAUCGGCAGGGAAGAAGCAAGACGGUACCUGACUAAGAAGCCCCGGCUAACUACGUGCCAGCAGCCGCGGUAAUACGUAGGGGGCGAGCGUUAUCCGGAUUUACUGGGUGUAAAGGGGGCGCAGACGGCGAUGCAAGCCAGGAGUGAAAGCCCGGGGCCCAACCCCGGGACUGCUCUUGGAACUGCGUGGCUGGAGUGCAGGAGGGGCAGGCGGAAUUCCUGGUGUAGCGGUGAAAUGCGUAGAUAUCAGGAGGAACACCGGUGGCGAAGGCGGCCUGCUGGACUGCGACUGACGCUGAGGCUCGAAAGCGUGGGGAGCAAACAGGAUUAGAUACCCCGGUAGAC
rnacentral:rRNA from 1 species